CUAGCAUCCAGAUCUAAUAGUUUACUGCUUACAAAACCCGAUAAUGAGGCAAUUCAUGAGAACAUGGAAGGAGAGUCUGGAGCAUCAGUUGUUAGAGGAGUUGUUGACAGUCUCAAAAUCAUUACCAGACAAGCUAGUCUGACAUUUGGAGAAUAU